rnacentral:rRNA from 1 species
UACGUAGAGUGCGAGCGUUAAUCGGAAUUACUGGGCGUAAAGCGUGCGCAGGCGGUUCGUUGUGUCGGCGGUGAAAGCCCCGGGCUUAACCUGGGAAUGGCCGUUGAAACUGGCGAACUGGAGUGUGGCAGAGGGGGGUGGAAUUCCGCGUGUAGCAGUGAAAUGCGUAGAGAUGCGGAGGAACACCGAUGGCGAAGGCAGCCCCCUGGGCUAACACUGACGCUCAGGCACGAAGGCGUGGGGAGCAAACAGG